rnacentral:rRNA from 1 species
UACAGAGGGGGCAAGCGUUGUUCGGAAUUACUGGGCGUAAAGAGCUUGUAGGUGGUUUGUCGCGUUGUUCGUGAAAUCUCACGGCUCAACUGUGAGCGUGCGGGCGAUACGGGCAGACUAGAGUACUGCAGGGGAGACUGGAAUUCCUGGUGUAGCGGUGGAAUGCGCAGAUAUCAGGAGGAACACCGGUGGCGAAGGCGGGUCUCUGGGCAGUAACUGACGCUGAGAAGCGAAAGCGUGGGGAGCGAACAGG